AUUAAACAUGUACAACGAUUAUCAACUACAGCAAAUUCAUAUGCAGCACCUCUUAAAUAUUACGUGAAAAGGCACAGCAAAACUCUAACUAGCAAAAACAGCAGAAAUAGUAAACUAGAAGCACAUCAUCAUUUGGCAUUGCAGUGAGCUGCUUUGCACAGCUCCUACUUGGAUAGUAUCCAGGGAUUAUUAGUGCAAGGAUCAGCAAGGAAAGUCCUGCUAAUCAAUGGUAGCAAUGACAAGAGCAAAAGGAAGAGAAGAGAAGAAGAAGAAUGAGAAGAAAGGGACAGAAGAAACUUAAUUCAUCAUAGUUCUCUUGUUGUUAUUCCCAGUAGAAUUUUGUAAAAUAAAUUUGGUAUUGGUAUCUACCACUCCUGCUAAUUAGGCCAACUGGUGGCAACAGUUAUAAUUGUCUACUAAUAAAACAAUGUGUACAAGGGAAAUUAAAACAGACACAAAACACUGCGUUGCAAAGGUAAGCCAAACGCUGCGUUUCUUAUGGCUUAAAAGCUGUGACGGCUACUUUUUUAUAAAAUAACGCACUCUUCUUCCUGACCAUCUUCUUUCUUCAACAGGGUGCAUAACAAUUCUCCCACCAUGAAAUUACCCAUGUCCUCAAGGAAAAAUAUGGGAAACCUCAGAGAGAGAACUCAUCACAAAACUUUUAAGUGGUGUUGGCUGGAUGCGAAGUCUUCCAUAAGAUCAGGAUUUAAGUGGCCGCACAAUUUUGAUGCUUCACUAUUUGUCCAUCCAGUAUUGCUUGAGCUUGUGGUGCUGGUUCAUCAUGCAACUCAUCAGUUAAAUCUCCAUACACUUUCUUACAACCCACAUGCUACUUUAAUAGAGAUAUGGACUACUAGGUGGAUUGGGGUUGUAGGAGGUAGGAAUAACUUAUAAGUCACAGUCCCAAUACGGUCAAUUACCUGAUAGGGACCAUAAAAUUUAGGUAAAAGCUUAUGUGAUUUUCUUGCGACUACUAACUUCUGCUUGUAUGGCUGCAAUUUAAGGUAGACUCAAUCACCUAUAGCGAAAGCUCUUUCACCUCUUUUCUUAUUGGCUUGUUGGAUCAUCCUUUAUUGUGCCACGUUGAGAUUAGGUUUUAUAGAAUUCAACAUGUUUACCCUUUGUAUAAGGAAUGCAUCCACAGCUUCAAUAUUAGAAUCCUUUGGCAAGUAAUGGAUAUGGAUAGGAGGCUCAUAACCAUAGAGUAUUUCGUAUGGAAUGGACUCAGUAGAAGCAUAGUAAUGGGUAUUGUACUACCAUUCAGCUAGAUAUAGUCAUUUGGACCAUUGACUAGGAUUAGCCCUUGACAUGCACCUCAGAUAAGUCUCUAGACAUAUGUUGACUGCUUCUGUCUGGCUGUCAAUCUAGGGAUGAUAGGCCGUAGAGAAAUGCAAUUCAACCCUUUGUUGGCCAAAUAAAUGCUUCCAUAACUGAUUUAGAAACACAGGGUCCCUGUCAUUGACAAUGGUAGCUGGAAACCCAUGCAACUUAUCCACAUUAUCCAUGAAAUCAGUGGCUACAGUCACAACAGAGAAUGAGAUGUGAUAGGGCUAUGAAAUGAACAUACUUGUUGAAUCUAUCCACCACCACAUAGAUGACACUUUUACCAUUAGACUUAGGGAGGCCCUCAAUAAAAUUCAUGCUUAUAUCAUUGAAAGGGCCCGUGGAAUAGGAAAAGGCUGUAGCAAGCCUAGACUAAGGACAAUUUUUGUUUUGUUCCUCUAGCACACACUACACUCUCUUACAUAUUGCCUGACGUGUCUCUAUUGCCUUUUCCAGUAUAAUAAACCCCAACUCUUUUAGCAGUAGCAAUAACUCCAGAGUGACCCCCUAUAGGUGAAUCAUGGUACAUAGCAAUAAGCUUCUUUUGCAACUCAGGAUCAUUACCAGCUAUUUUUUUCCUUCCUGUUUAGAUGACCAUUCACACAUUACAGUGAGGGUUUGAGUUGGGAUCCUGUAGCAUAUCAUGAAUAAUCCUUUGUGUAGUGUUGUCCUUUCCUCAGGAUGCCUUAAUCAGAUUCGUUAGUAUGGUAGAGACCAAUGACACUACCAUAGUAAACAGUUCUCCCUCAGGAUUUCUAGAUAAAGUAUCAGUUGUAGUGUUAUCCUUACCCUUUUUGUAUUCAAUCUCAAAGUCCAAGCUUAAUAGCUUAGGGAACCAUAAGUGAUGCAAGGGAAAGGUGAUUUUCUGCUCCAUCAAAUAAUUCAAAAUACCAUGAUUUGUUCGAACCUUGAAAUGUCUGCCUAAAAGGUAGUGUCCACUUAGAAACUGCAUGAUGUAUGGCCAUCAUUUCCUUUUCAUAGGUGGAUAGAGCUUGUUGUCUUGGACUUAGAGAUUUGUUAAUGAAGGUUAGUGGGAGCCCCUCAUAUAUCAACAUUGCCCCAAUGCCACUCCCUGAAGCAUAUGUUUCUAUAACAAACAUCUUGUUCAGGUCAGGUAAAGCCAAAACUGGAGGUUGAGUCGUUAACUGUUUCAGCUUCUCAAAGGCUUCCGUUGCCUCUGUGUUCCACAAGAAGGCAUCCUUUCUUAGCAAUUGUGUCAAUGGUUUACAAAUCAAUUCAUAGCCCUUGACAAAUUUCCUGUAGUAACCUAUAAAAUAAAGAAACCCACGCAAUUGUUUGAUUCAAGGUUCAAACCAACCAGUCACAAUUGUUUAGAUCAACAAUGAAAACAUCUACCACAAAGCUUACCCCCUACAUCUUUUACUUGAAGUCCUUACACAUUGCAGUGCAACUCAUAGUACUACCAUUGGCUACCUCAACUGUUAAAUGCUUAAUUGAUAACAAGUCACAUUGUAACUUCCUUGCUGAUUCAAUGUUUAAAAAAGUUAUGAAUACUACCUGAGCCAAUCAGAAUGAACACUUAAUGUUUGUCCCUUCUGCCAGUGACCCUUAGCGUAUGGAACCCCAUUGUUCUUUCCAAUGCAUUGAUGGAAAUGAGUGGAGUAAUGGUAUCUGGUUUAUUUUCUUCCACCUCAUCAUCAGCAUCUUCAUCACCUUCUUCAUCUUCCACUAUGCAUAAUGAAUAUAGUUUAUUGUUCUUGCAUCUAUGACCAGGUAUAAACCUAUCAUCACACUAAAAGCAUGUUCUUGCAUCUAUGACCAGGUAUAAACCUAUCAUCACACUAAAAGCAUGUUCUUGCAUCUAUGACCAGGUAUAAACCUAUCAUCACACCAAAAGCAUAGGCCCUUGGCUCUUUUAUCUUCUAAUUCCUUGGUUCCUAGUCAUUUGGUAGGUUUGGAAUUUGGGUUGUAGGUGUAAUUUGAGUAGGUAGUAACCCAGCUUGGAGCUAUUUUAAGGCAGGGUUGUUUGGUGGGUUUAGGUUCUCCAAAGGGUUCUGGAAUGAUUGGUUUUGUUUGGGUGGUCUGUAGGGUGGUUUGAGUGUAGUGUCUGAUUUGUGUGGGGUGUGAUGUUCUAAGGAUAGAGUUCUGUUUUGUAGAUGAACAGGUUGUAGGUCUGUUUUAGUGUUUUUGGCUCAAACAUUUUAACUAUAUUCUUUAUCUCCACCUCUAGCCCUCCAAUGAAGAAGACAAUGGCUCAUUUCACGUUCAUCUCAGCUCUGUUACACAAGACAUCAAAAUCUUAUAUGUAGGUUUCACGAUUUCUAGUCUGCCUCAGGUCCAUCAGCUCUUCCAAUGGGUCCUUCUGACCCCCAAAACUUGGCACAUAAAGCCUCCACAUACUCUUCCCAUGGUAUACCCUGACCUCCCGAACUCCUGAUAUAAUUUUGAUGGCAAUACAAGGCUUUACCAUUUAGAUGGUAAGAAGCCAACUUCAGCAUCUUCCAUAUCAAAAUAUUGAUUACAUUUGUACAACCAUUCAUGUACAUCCUCUCCAUCAAAGGGAUGGAAAUCUUGUUUUGGCUUGUGCAAUCUGUAGCAGUGCUGCCUUUCUUCACACGACUUGCAAGUUUUGGUUGCAGAAUCUUCUGUGUAAGGGUUCAGCUUCUCCCUAGUAGAGCUGGUUUCACCAACAGUCCAUUGUAGAGUCUGCAAUAUAGAUAUUUGUUGAUAGGAUAGACCACUAAUGAGGUCCUUCAGUUCAUCCAAUCAAACUUCAUGGUUGGAUGUAGUAUUCUCUAGUUUUUUAUUGUAAGAAUUCAAUAUCUUCACCAUGUGUUCAUAUUUUUGGGCUUGAUCUAUGUCAGAUUCGAGAGAAUCCUCCAGUCAUUUCAAGUCUUGAAAUCGAGUGUCAAGAGCCAUUCCACUGAUGUGAAGACAAUGAGCUUUGAUACCACUUGCGUGAGCUAGAUUUCCACAGCUCCUACUUAGAUAGCAUCCAGGGAUUAUUAGUGCAGAGAUCAGCAAGGAAAGUCCUGCUAAUCAAUGGUAGCAAUGACAGAAGCAAAAAAAAACAGAAGAAGAAAGGGAGAGAAGAAGAAACUUAAUUCAUCAUAAUUCUCUUUUUGUUAUUCCCAGCAGAAUUUAUGUUCCAUAUAGGGUAAUGUGCUUCCUAACAGUAUAGCUCCUGCUAAUUUUUUAUUAACUAACCCACUCUUCUUCCUGACUAUCUUCUUUCUUCAACAGGGUGCAUAGCAGGCAUGUAUACGCAAUUAGUCAGUAAUACGAACAUACUACAAAAUCUUAAAAGUAACAUUGCAAAUGUCAUCAAAUGACAUAGCAAUACUCUAUCCAUCGUAUCACAAAAUCUCAUUUGUAAAAAAAUGUGAAUUAUUCAAUCAAACCAACACAUCCUAAGAUUCUCAAGAAUUAAAAGCCAAAAUUUCAAACAGAGCAACAAAAGAUAACCAAACCCAUUAACAAUUUCAACCAAAAUCCAAACUUUGAUAUUUGGCUUAUACGCAUAACCAAGAAUCAAGAAACCGGUACUACCAAUAACAGAACCAAACC